rnacentral:rRNA from 1 species
ACGUAGGUGGCAAGCGUUGUCCGGAUUUACUGGGUGUAAAGGGCGUGUAGGCGGGAGAGCAAGUCAGAAGUGAAAUCUAUGGGCUUAACCCAUAAACUGCUUUUGAAACUGUUCUUCUUGAGUAUCGGAGAGGCAGGCGGAAUUCCUAGUGUAGCGGUGAAAUGCGUAGAUAUUAGGAGGAACACCAGUGGCGAAGGCGGCCUGCUGGACGACAACUGACGCUGAGGCGCGAAAGCGUGGGGAGCAAACAG